rnacentral:sRNA from 1 species
UCGUAAUCAAAAUCAUAAAAAGCGAUGAGAUGGAAACAGCGUUAGGGAAAAUGUUGAUGGAAACGUUUUAAUUGCUCUACCUGCUCGUUGAGGAAACUCGAGAGAAAAGGAAAAGCAUAGAAUAGAAAAGAACAGAAGAUAAAGCAGACGACAGCAAUUAUCAAUUGUGUUCCUCUCGGAUGCCAUAAAUUCUUGAAUAUAAUAAAAUGUGGGUUUUAUAUAAUUCUUUCAGUAUGACGAUGAUUCCUCUGAUAGAUGCAAGUGGAAGGCGGCUCCGAAGAUUAUCGAAGGAAGAUGGUGACUUCUCCUGUGUGAAACUCUAUAGCCGCAAUCCGCGAAACACUCUGCUCCAUCCCGCUAGCUCACAUAAAUGAAUAACAAAUUUAAGACAAAUAUGUAUAUAUUUCUGUUCGAAUCUGCACGACCCAUCAUUAAUCACAG